rnacentral:rRNA from 1 species
CCUACGGGAGGCAGCAGUGAGGAAUAUUGGUCAAUGGACGAGAGUCUGAACCAGCCAAGUAGCGUGAAGGAUGACUGCCCUAUGGGUUGUAAACCUCUUUUAUCUGGGAACAAAACAGGGUACGCAUACCCGCAUGUAUGUACCAUAUGAAUAAGGAUCGGCUAACUCCGUGCCAGCAGCCGCGGUAAUACGGAGGAUUCGAGCGUUAUCCGGAUUUAUUGGGUUUAAAGGGAGCGGAGGGGGAUGGUUAAGGCAGUUGUGAAAGUUUGCGGCUCAACCGUAAACAUGCAGUUGAAACUGGCAGUCUUGAGUACGGGAGAAGUAGGCGGAAUGCGUGGUGUAGCGGUGAAAUGCUUAGAUAUCACGAAGAACUCCGAUUGCGAAGGCAGCAUACUGGCCUGCAACUGACGCUGAUGCACGAAAGCGUGGGUAUCGAACAGGAUUAGAUACCCUUGUAGUC